GGUCCCUUAGUAUAAUGGCAGUACGUCUCUUUUACACAGAGAAAGAAGUGGCUCGAUUCCACUAGGGACUACCA
rnacentral:tRNA from 3 species